rnacentral:rRNA from 1 species
AGCUCCAAUAGCGUAUAUUAAAGUUGUUGCAGUUAAAAAGCUCGUAGUUGGAUUUCUGGGAGGGUGCCAAUGUCCGCCGGCAGGCGUGUGCAGCGGCGCCCUUCCAUCCUUCUGUUAACGUUUCUUGGUAUUCAGUUACUGGUUGCGGGCUCAGAUAUUUUACCUUGAGAAAAUUAGAGUGUUUCAGGCAGGCUUGCGCCGGAAUACAUUAGCAUGGAAUAAUAGAAGAGGACUUUGGUCUCUGUUGUUGGUUUGCAGGACCUGGAGUAAUGAUUAAUAGGGAUAGUUGGGGGCAUUAGUAUUUAAUUGUCAGAGGUGGAAUUCUCGGAUUUGUUAAAGACUAACUUAUGCGAAAGCAUUUGCCAAGGAUGUUUUCAUUAAUCAAGAACGAAAGUACGCA